rnacentral:misc_RNA from 1 species
GCAAACUUGGUCAUUUAGAGGAAGUAAAAGUCGUAACAAGGUUUCCGUAGGUGAACCUGCGGAAGGAUCAUUAUCGAAUCGUUCACACUUGGUUGUCGCUGGCUCUCUCUCUCUCUGAGAUUGCAUGUGCACACCAAGUUCAAACUUUUCAUUCUAACCUCCUGUGCACUUUUGUGGAUCGUGGUCAGAUGAACUUUGUCAAAGUAACAUUUGGUUUUGGGGUUUGCACAAUCUUUGCUUUCCUCUACCGUUUGUCCACGGUUCAUGUCUUUUACUACAAACUAUUCAAUAUAAAUUCAGAACGCUUCACAAGUUGGGACUUUGGUAUCCCUUCUUAAAUAUUAUACAACUUUCAACAACGGAUCUCUUGGCUCUCGCAUCGAUGAAGAACGCAGC